rnacentral:siRNA from 1 species
UAUUGGGUUGGUUAUCAGGUC